CACCCCCCCCCCAAAAAAGAAGGAAAUCCUGCCAUUUACAACAGUAUACAUGGAUCUCAAGGGUACCUUGUUAGGUGAAAUGAGUGAGACAGAAACAAAUACUGCAUGAUCUUAUCUGUGAAAUCGAAAGAAAAGGAAAGAAAGAAAAAAGACCUAAGCUAAUUAAAAAUGAGAUCAGAUUAGUGGUUACCUGAGGCAGGGGCUUAGGGGACGAAGAAUUGGAGGACGAUGAUCAGAAGGUGGAAAUGUACAGUUAUAAGAUAAGAAGGUACUAGGGUAUAGCGUACAGCACGGUCACUGUAGUAACACUGCUUGCUGUACAGUAUACUUGACAGUUGUUAGGAGAAUAAAUCCCAGGAGAGUUCUCAUCACAAGGAAAAAAACUUGUCCCCCUCUUUCUUUGCAUCUGUAUGAGAUGAUAGGUGUCGGUUAAUCUUACUGUGGUAAUCGUUUCAUGGUAUAUGAAGGUCAAGCCAUUAUACGGUAUACCUUAAAUUUAUACAGUGCUUUGUGUCAGUUACAUUUCAAUAAAAAGGGGUGGGGGGGGUAAAAGAAAAUAAGCCAGAAAACAUUAGAAAAAGAAGAGAUCCCAGUGCCAGGCAAGAAUAAGUUCUCAGCAAAUACUUGCUGAAUAAAUUAAUGAGAAGGAGUAAAAGAACCCUGAAAAUUUAAAAAAACAGGAUUACAGUUCGCAGGAUCUCAGAGCGUCAGGAUCAAAUUCUAUUAAAAGCAUGCAGACAUCAAAAAAAAAAAAA